rnacentral:rRNA from 1 species
UUGGAGGGCAAGUCUGGUGCCAGCAGCCGCGGUAAUUCCAGCUCCAAUAGCGUAUAUUAAAUUUGUUGCAGUUAAAAAGCUCGUAGUUGAAUUUCGGGAUCGACGUGACGGUCGUGCCUUACGGGGUAUGAACUGUCGCAGUUGAUUUCUCACCUUCUGGAGAAGCUCGAUGUCCUUAAUUUGGUGUCGUGGGGAAUCAGGACUGUUACUUUGAAAAAAUUAGAGUGUUUAAAGCAGGCGCACGCUUGAAUACAUUAGCAUGGAAUAAUGAAAUAGGACGUUUGAUUCUAUUUUGUUGGUUUCUAGGAUCGACGUAAUGAUUAAUAGGGAUAGUUGGGGGCAUUAGUAUUCAAUUGUCAGAGGUGAAAUUCUUGGAUUUAUUGAAGACUAACUACUGCGAAAGCAUUUGCCAAGGAUGUUUUCAUUAAUCAAGAACGAAAGUUAGGGGAUCGAAGACGAUCAGAUACCGUCGUAGUCUUAACCAUAAACUAUGCCGACUAGGGAUCGGACGAAGUUAAUUUUAUAAUGACGCGUUCGGCGCCUUACGGGAAAC